rnacentral:rRNA from 1 species
CCUACGGGAGGCAGCAGUGGGGCAUAUUGCACAAUGGGGGAAACCCUGAUGCAGCGACGCCGCGUGAGUGAAGAAGUAAUUCGUUAUGUAAAGCUCUAUCAGCAGGGAAGAAAAUGACGGUACCUGAGUAAGACGCCCCGGCGAACUACGUGCCAGCAGCCGCGGUAAUACGUAGGGGGCAAGCUUUAUCCGGAUUUACUGGGUGGAAAGGGAGCGUAGACGGCAGUGCAAGUCUGGAGUGAAAGGCGGGGGCUCAACCCCCGGACUGCUCUGGAAACUGUACGGCUGGAGUGCAGGAGAGGUAAGUGGAAUUCCUAGUGUAGCGGUGAAAUGCGUAGAUAUUAGGAGGAACACCAGUGGCGAAGGCGGCUUACUGGACUGUAACUGACGUUGAGGCUCGAAAGCGUGGGGAGCAAACAGGAUUAGAUACCCCUGUAGUC